rnacentral:rRNA from 1 species
UAAAGAAAGUAAGAAAGGGCGUAUGGCGGAUGCCUAGGCUCACGGAGGCGAUGAAGGACGUGAUAAGCUGCGAUAAGCUUCGGGUAGGUGCAAAUAACCCUUGAUCCGAAGAUUUCCGAAUGGGACAACCUAGCCGUCUGAAGGACGGUUACUCUUACCAAGUAAGAGAGCUAACGCAGGGAACUGAAACAUCUUAGUACCUGCAGGAAGAGAAAAUAAAUGAAUGAUUCCCCCAGUAGUGGCGAGCGAACGGGGAACAGCCCAAACCAGUGGCGUCGCAAGGCGUGGCUGGGGUUGUAGGACCGCGACAUUGUAUGCAAAUCGUGAACAGAACACUUUGGAAAAUGUGACCAUAGACGGUGAUAGUCCAGUAUGUGAAGCGAAAUGCAGCAUAGCGGUAUCCUGAGUAACGCGGGACACGAGGAAUCUUGCGCGAAUCUGCCGGGACCAUCCGGUAAGGCUAAAUACUCCCGUGAGACCGAUAGCGAACGAGUACUGUGAAGGAAAGGUGAAAAG